UGCAGCUGUACAUUGUUUCUCCUUAUCAAAU
rnacentral:piRNA from 1 species